rnacentral:tRNA from 1 species
GCCUGGGUGGCUGAGUCGGUUAAGCGUCUGACUUCAGCUCAGGUCACGAUCUCACUGUUUGGGGGUUUGAGCCCUGCAUUGGGCU